CAAUGAGAUCCUGUCCAUUGAGGAACGCGCUUUUGAGCCACUGCCUUUCCUGAAGCUUCUAAACCUCUCUGGGAAUGGCCUCACGCAGAUCCACAGCGGCACUUUCCAGGCCUGGCAUGGGAUGCAGUUUCUCCAGGAGCUGAUCCUCAGCCAUAACCCGCUGGCUGUCAUUGAUGACGCCGCCUUCUUCAAGCUGCCCUCGGUGACUUCUCUAGACCUGAGUGCCACCCAAGUGACUCCGCAGACGCUGCUGCUGCUCCUGCA